AGCGAACGCUGGCGGCAGGCUUAACACAUGCAAGUCGAGCGGGCAUCCUUGUGGUGUCAGCGGCAGACGGGUGAGUAACGCGUGGGAACGUGCCCUUCGUUUCGGAAUAACUCUGGGAAACUUGAGCUAAUACCGGAUACGUGCGAGAGCAGAAAGGUUUAUCUGCCGAAGGGCCGGCCCGCGUCUGAUUAGCUAGUUGGUGAGGUUACGGUGCCCCAAGGCGUCGAUAGGUAGGUGGUCUGAGAGGAUGAUCAGCCACCCUGGGACUGAGACACGGCCCAGACUACUACGGGAGGCAGCAGUGGGGAAUAUUGGAAAAUGGGGGCAACCCUGAUCCAGCCAUGCCGGGUGAGUGAUGACGGCCUUAGGGUUGUAAAGCUCUUUUCUCCGGGACGAUAAUGACGGUACCGGAGGAAUAAGCCCCGGCUAACUUCGUG
rnacentral:rRNA from 1 species